rnacentral:rRNA from 1 species
AACGAACGCUGGCGGCGUGGAUAAGACAUGCAAGUCGAACGGGAGAAUUGCUAGCUUGCUAAUAAUUCUCUAGUGGCGCACGGGUGAGUAACACGUGAGUAACCUGCCCCCAAGAGUGGGAUAGCCCCGGGAAACUGGGAUUAAUACCGCAUAAAAUCGCAAGAUUAAAGCAGCAAUGCGCUUGGGGAUGGGCUCGCGUCCUAUUAGUUAGUUGGUGAGGUAACGGCUCACCAAGGCGAUGACGGGUAGCCGGUCUGAGAGGAUGUCCGGCCACACUGGAACUGAGACACGGUCCAGACACCUACGGGUGGCAGCAGUCGAGAAUCAUUCACAAUGGGGGAAACCCUGAUGGUGCGACGCCGCGUGGGGGAAUGAAGGUCUUCGGAUUGUAAACCCCUGUCAUGUGGGAGCAAAUUAAAAAGAUAGUACCACAAGAGGAAGAGA